GCAUUUGCGUAUGAACAACGUGCCGGUAGCGUAAUUUGAGCGUAUUCAUACAAUUACUCCUUUUUUUCUGCAAUUUUCGACCAAGAUAUACCCACUGGUACAUUGUGAAUAUUCUUUGAAGAAAAAACAAUAUCUUAUAAAUUUUUUAUUCUUUCCUUUGGACUUUCUAACUGGUAAUAAUUGCUUGAAAAGAUAUUUAGCUUAAAACAUUUCUGCUGCAAUGAUCCUCGAGGCGGUUGAUAAACCCCUCGAAGGGAUUGUUCACGAGGAACGAGAUGUGACAGUUUAUUUUCAGCGUGGAGGGAGUGUUGGAAAAGGAACCUUAUAUAUAGCAGAAAAUGAGCUCACCUGGCAAACUGACGACAACAAGGGUUUUAGUUUACAAUGGCCUGAUGUCUCAUUACAUGCGAUUUUAACGGAGGUGACAGCAGAUUUCCCUCAUCAAUGCGUAAUGGUAGUCGCAACUGUUGAUCUUGACGAGAAAGAAGAGGCAGGAGAUGACAGCGCUUCUGAGAAGAGUGUCGAUGCAGAAGUGGUCACGACCUUUCAGCUCGUUCCCGAUUCAGUGCAAAAACUUGAGCCAAUAUAUAAAGCUAUGUGUGAGUGCGUAGCUCUACAUCCAUGCAGCGACGGAGAAGAAGACGAUGAGGAAGAUAAUGAAGGUAAUGAUAAUGAUGAAAAUUGGGAGGCUGAUCCUAAUGGAACUGCUGAUGAGACCGAGAAGGCGGAAACUAUGGAUGAUUUACCUACAGGAGAUUCGGGACCGAACGGUAGCGCAGAGCCGAUGGAACAAGGCCAAUUCGAUGACGCUGAAUAAUUGAGUGAUGAAUUUAUG
rnacentral:misc_RNA from 1 species